AGUGAACGCUGGCGGUAGGCCUAACACAUGCAAGUCGAACGGCAGCACAGGAGAGCUUGCUCUCUGGGUGGCGAGUGGCGGACGGGUGAGGAAUACAUCGGAAUCUACUCUGUCGUGGGGGAUAACGUAGGGAAACUUACGCUAAUACCGCAUACGACCUACGGGUGAAAGCAGGGGACCUUCGGGCCUUGCGCGAUUGAAUGAGCCGAUGUCGGAUUAGCUAGUUGGCGGGGUAAAGGCCCACCAAGGCGACGAUCCGUAGCUGGUCUGAGAGGAUGAUCAGCCAAACUGGAACUGAGACACGGUCCAGACUCCUACGGGAGGCAGCUGAGGGGAAUAUUGGACAAUGGGCGCAAGCCUGAUCCAGCCAUACCGCGUGGGUGAAGAAGGCCUUCGGGUUGUAAAGCCCUUUUGUUGGGAAAGAAAUCCAGCUGGCUAAUACCCGGUUGGGAUGACGGUACCCAAAGAAUAAGCACCGGCUAACUUCGUGCCAGCAGCCGCCGUAA
rnacentral:rRNA from 1 species